rnacentral:rRNA from 1 species
GACGUAGGGUGCGAGCGUUGUCCGGAUUUAUUGGGCGUAAAGAGCUCGUAGGCGGCUUGUCGCGUCGACUGUGAAAACCCGUGGCUCAACCAUGUGGUCUGCAGUCGAUACGGGCAGGCUAGAAUUCGGUAGGGGAGACUGGAAUUCCUGGUGUAGCGGUGAAAUGCGCAGAUAUCAGGAGGAACACCGGUGGCGAAGGCGGCAUCCUGGACCGGUAUUGACGCUGAGGCGCGAAAGCCAGGGGAGCAAACGGG